rnacentral:rRNA from 1 species
CGUUAAUAGCGUUGCCGUUUGACGUUAGCAACAGAAGAAGCACCGGCUAACUCCGUGCCAGCAGCCGCGGUAAUACGGAGGGUGCGAGCGUUAAUCGGAAUUACUGGGCGUAAAGCGCAUGCAGGCGGUCUGUUAAGCAAGAUGUGAAAGCCCGGGGCUCAACCUCGGAACAGCAUUUUGAACUGGCAGACUAGAGUCUUGUAGAGGGGGGUAGAAUUUCAGGUGUAGCGGUGAAAUGCGUAGAGAUCUGAAGGAAUACCGGUGGCGAAGGCGGCCCCCUGGACAAAGACUGACGCUCAGAUGCGAAAGCGUGGGGAGCAAACAGGAUUAGAUACCCUGGUAGUCCACGCCGUAAACGAUGUCUACUUGGAGGUUGGGACCUUGAGUCCUGGCUUUCGGAGCUAACGCGUUAAGUAGACCGCCUGGGGAGUACGGUCGCAAGAUUAAAACUCAAAUGAAUUGACGGGGGCCCGCACAAGCGGUGGAGCAUGUGGUUUAAUUCGAUGCAACGCGAAGAACCUUACCUACUCUUGACAUCCAGAGAAUUCGCUAGAGAUAGCUUAGUGCCUUCGGGAACUCUGAGACAGGUGCUGCAUGGCUGUCGUCAGCUCGUGUUGUGAAAUGUUGGGUUAAGUCCCGCAACGAGCGCAACCCUUAUCCUUGUUUGCCAGCAC